GCGGAAGGCUGGAUGGCCGCGGGGUUGCAAGAUUCCGAGGAAAGUCCGGACUCCCUGAAGCAACGGUGCCGGGUAACGCCCGGGCGGGGCAACCCGACGGAUCAGCGCCACAGAAAACAGACCGCCUCGUAUGUCGCUCGCGAUAUACCGGGUCAGGGUGAAACGGUGGGGUAAGAGCCCACCGGGGGGCUGGCAACAGCGCCCGCAUGGCAAGCCCCACCGGGAGCAAUGCCAAAUAGGGGCCUCGCGCGCGGCUGAUCGCCUUCGGGGGAUAUCGGCGCAGGGAUGCUUCAGCCCGAGAGGCCCGGGUUGGCAGCUAGAGGCGCGGGGGCAAUCCCGUGCCAAGAGGAAUGGUCAUCGGCGGUCGUCAGACCGUCACAGAAUCCGGCUUACAGGCCUUCCGCGCAU
rfam:Marinovum algicola DG 898, complete genome.